rnacentral:rRNA from 1 species
CCUGUAAGUCAGGCAACGAGCGAGACCCACGCCAACAGUUGCCAGCUCGGUCCUCCCGGGGAUGGUGGGGACACUGUUGGGACCGCCUCUGCUAAAGAGGAGGAAGGAAUGGGGCAACGGUAGGUCAGCAUGCCCCGAAUUAUCUGGGCUACACGCGGGCUACAAUGGGUGGGACAAUGGGUAUCGACACCGAAAGGUGAAGGCAAUCUCCUAAACCCAUCCGUAGUUCGGAUUGUGGGCUGCAACUCGCCCACAUGAAGCUGGAAUCUGUAGUAAUCGUGUCUCAAAAUGGCACGGUGAAUAUGUCCCUGCUCCUU